CACAUGCUGCAACCGCUCCGAUCGGGUUAACAAGUCCGCUGGACCUUUGCGUCUAACGGCACCUGAAUCAGGCGAGUCUGAGACAUGAG
rfam:Paenibacillus sp. oral taxon 786 str. D14 genomic scaffold supercont1.8, whole genome shotgun sequence.